UGGGGAAUAUUGCACAAUGGGCGAAAGCCUGAUGCAGCAACGCCGCGUGAGUGAUGAAGGCCUUCGGGUUGUAAAGCUCUGUCUUUUGGGACGAUAAUGACGGUACCAAAGGAGGAAGCCACGGCUAACUACGUGCCAGCAGCCGCGGUAAUACGUAGGUGGCAAGCGUUGUCCGGAUUUACUGGGCGUAAAGGAUGCGUAGGCGGAUUUUUAAGUGGGAUGUGAAAUACCCGGGCUUAACUUGGGUGCUGCAUUUCAAACUGGGAAUCUAGAGUGCGGGAGAGGAGAAUGGAAUUCCUAGUGUAGCGGUGAAAUGCGUAGAGAUUAGGAAGAACACCAGUGGCGAAGGCGAUUCUCUGGACCGUAACUGACGCUGAGGCAUGAAAGCGUGGGUAGCAAACAGGAUUAGAUACCCUGGUAGUCCACGCCGUAAACGAUGAGUACUAGGUGUAGGAGGUAUCGACCCCUUCUGUGCCGCAGUUAACACAAUAAGUACUCCGCCUGGGAAGUACGAUCGCAAGAUUAAAACUUAAAUGAAUUGACGGGGUCAUAGCUG
rnacentral:rRNA from 1 species